GCCCUCGUAGCUCAAUUGGUAGAGCAACUGGCUCUUAACCAGGAGGUUGCAGGUUCGACUCCUGCCGGGGGCA
rnacentral:tRNA from 1 species